UCUCCACCCCUUACCUGGGUUCUGGGGUAUCAUCAUUAAGCAGCAGCAGCUCAUUCUCAAAAUCACGAGCCGCAUCCUGGAGUGGGACAUACUCUGAGCAGUAUAGUGCUUUUGCGGGCACUCAAUCACCUGACAGACAGACGAUGCCUUCACCACUCAUGCCUGGCAAACCAUCACACAGUCGUUCCAACAGCAACUCAUCACUGCAGCUCAAUGGAUUGGCAGAGGAUCUUCAUGAGGUUGAGCUCUAACUGAUCACUGCUCAGCAUGACCUCAUGUCUUGUAUCCACAAAGACAGCCAUGGCAACCGCUGACGGUUCCAGAAACCCCAAAGCGGGUGUCAGAAAAGAAGCUGCCCUCACAAUGCUGAUCACAGGGAUGACACAGUUGGAAUGGGUUGGUGCCACUUUGCACGGGAUUCUGGGGGCGCGCUCUAAACCACCGAGGUGCGUCAGACCUGUACUAACAGAAAUGCAGGGUUUUUGAACAUUUUGUAGUUAUAUCUCCUAUACAACUAAAAAGAAGAAAAGUAAGAUCACCAAAUGGUGCGAUAAUUUUUUGGGUUGCCCCCACCUCUCCUUGCGAUUCUAAGGUGGAAGGGUGCAAAAACAAAUAAAGAAUAAGAAUGGAUUCCUGAUGUAAAUAUACAAUAGAGAAACAAUAUAUAAAUGUGGAGGUGGAAGGGAAAGGAUUCCUGAUGUAAAAUGGUCUUUUGUGGCCGUGCGAUGUUUGCCAUAGAUGCGAUACAGUCGGUGGUGCGACAAUUUCGGCAACAAAAAUCAACCGCCCAUAAAAUACAAUUUUGGCAACCUGCGAUUACGGCAACAAAAAUCAACCGUGAUUUUUGGCUACGGAAGUUGGAGUGCUUUCUAUAAUUCCAUCCUCGCGAAAUCAAUCAGGGCACGCGCAGGACCUUUUCCAUCGCCGUCCUAUUUAUUCGGUCGAGGAGGAUGCGAGGUGCUGGCGGGUCUCCUCGGUCCCGCGGGCACCAACCAACUGUGAACAAGCUCCGUGGCAAUGCGCCGGCCACGCGGCCGAUAAUAAAGCCAAAUAUUUUACUAUAAACUAAACAAAGUCAUUAGAGAAUCUUCAAGAGCCUUUCUAUAUCUUAUUCUCUAAAUCAUUACUUGGAGAGCCAUUUAUAUAAAAAUCGUUUUCUAUAUUUUUUUUACUUUCGAACAGUUUUGCUAAAUCUCAUACGCAUUCUAUAGAGUCAUUCUCGUCUUCUAUAUUUGGCUAGCGAAAAAUCUGAAAUAGACAUGCGAUGAGUCUGGUCGGAAGAAACCUAUGUGUAGGAGACAUUUUGGACCUUUUUGAGCAAGGUGGCUGUCUGUCCCAUCGCGGCGAUCAGAUGUGCUCGUAUACUGGAUCGGACGCCCUGGCACUCCGGGGUAUCAGAGAGUCGGUCCAGAUUCGCCAUGGCGACAGCCACGUUGGCGCUUGGCGUCUUGUAGACUGGCUGAUCUCCGACCAUGUCAAAAGCAUCACUAAGGUUGUGCGGCGCAAGUUGCCGUUCUUCAUCUGCGCGCCGCCGAGCACGAUCAGCAUUGCGCUGUUCGCGGAGUUGUUUCUGCUCGUCUGUUUCGCCGUCGACAACGGGUUCGUCAUUGCUGACGUUAAAAAUAAGGUCUCCUCGCCGAGGUGGAAAGACCGGGAAACGAGAAAAACCCGGAGGAUAAUGGUGGUAGAUCCAGGUCGUAAUCUUCGUCCUCGGAGUGUAAAACUUUGGUGGGGACGGACCCUGUGCUGGAGUUUGUACUGGUGGCCUUGUCGUCUGGCAGGACUCGGAUGGAUACCAUGUUGACGUAAUGGCGAGCUGUUUGGCUGCUCUGUCCCGGCGAUAAGCCCGCCCUGCUGAAAAGAGAUUGGGUGUGCCGUGAAUAGUGGUCGGCCGAGUUGCUUAGACCGUAAGGGUGGUUCUGGUCUUGAGCUGUCUUGAGCUUGAUGGGCCGUCCCGCGGGGGUCGAUGUUAUUGUUAGGGACGUCUCCAGCUGUUCGUGUGUGAUGACACGAGUUGGCCGGCAGGAGUCGAAAAAGUUUGUUGACGUCGCCUGGUCGGGUUUUCGCGAGAUCGAAUCCAUGAGAUCCGAGGCUUCGAGGAGCCUGAGAUCGGCGCAAUCAAGAGCUCGGAAAAGAUCCGAGUCGUCGACCUUUUUUCCCCUAUAACGAGGGAGCGGAGGUCGGGUGCUCGGAGCCGGCGUGAUCGGAAUCGACGCCCUUGCUGUCUCAGAUCGGAUCUGGGCUCCUUCCGAGGUCGUGGUCGUGAAGCCGCCACCAUGAGUCGUCCACGUGAUCUGGCCGACGGUGAACGUGAGGCCUUCCGCCACGGCCGCGGAAGCUGGAACGAUGACCAUCUUGUUCGUCGAGAGAGCUGUACGCACACCCCCUACCUGGCGCGCCACUGUCGACGAAAGCUAGUCGGCAGUCUACCUUGGGGUAUACCCACGGUAGUAGUUUAUUGGUAGACGGUGCGCAAGCUACGAACUCGAUGGUGACGCAAGACACAGACAAAAUUUUUAUCCAGGUUCGGCCGCCGUGUGGGCGUAACACCUACGUCCUGCGUCGUCUGAUUGUAUUGGAUUGUGUUGAGAUAAUCUGUCCUAAGGGGGGUCCCUUGCCUCUCCUUAUAUAGUCCAGAGGGCAGGGCUACAGAUCUGGAAACUAAUCCUAGUCGGCUACAAUUGCCAUAGAUAGUACGAUAUCUAUUCCUAUUCUAACCGACUAGAUUCCUGCUUGAUCCCCACGUCUUGUUUUCUCGCUUGAAACUCCGAACAGUCGAAUCAAGCCUCGAACUCGUCUCGUAAUGGGCCGAGCCUCCUGGCCCAAGUCUAUCCGUAAGGGUAUAGGGGUUUAUACCCCCACAGCUGGUACAUGCCAAGUGAUGGAGCAAGUGAUGAUCAUGGUGAUGAUGGCGAUGAAAAUGAUCAAGUGUUCAACUUAGAAAAGAAGAAAGAGAAAAACAAAACCCUAUGAAGAUCAAGGCAAAGGUAUUGCUUAGGGUUUUGGUUUUGGUGAUCAAGACACCAUAGAGGGUGUGAUCACAUUUAGGAUAGAUAGCCGUACUAUAAAGAGGGGAAUUCUUUGGCUAAGCGGUUAUCAAGUGCCACUAGGUGUCUUUGUUCAUGUGCAUGCAUUUAGAACCUAGUGAGCUAACUUAACUCAUUCGAAGAAAAUGAUUGUGAAAAUGCUAACACACGUGCACAUGUUGGUUUACACAUUGUGGUGUUGGCACACUUUGAGAAGGAGGUGGAGUUUGAAGGGUAGAGAGAGGAUGGGUUCCUCUCUCCCUCCCGCCGAGCUUGCGAGACGGGAUUCGGCGCUUUUCGAGAAAAUGAAGUGCAUAUCUUCUAUUGCGCCGGUGGGAAAGUUGGACAAGUCGCGGGAGUGUUUCUCGCUGAGGAACACUCACCGGACGCUGGCUUCUGGAGCACCUGACGCUGAGUCUGAGCGUCCGGUGCAGUCAGUGCCUGACUCAGUUAGGGUAAGGCACCGGACGCCAGGCACCGGACGUAGGCUGGAGCGUCCGGUGUUCUGAGUCCGGUGUCUGCGCGUUUUGCAGUGCUCCCUAGGUUUAAGUCCGGUGAGCACCGGACGUAGGCUGGAGCGUCCGGUGACCUUGCGCGUUUGCAGACCUUCCUGAGUUUAGGACCGGUGUGCACGGGACGCGUCCGGCGGCAACUUGCUCAGCGUCCGGUGCUCUGCAGGUUACCGUUAGACUCUGACACGUGGGUGACUUUGGAGCACCGGACGCAGGUGUUGAGCGUCUGAUGCCCCUUUAAGAGCGUCCGGCGACCCCGUGUUUUGUCCAGUGAAAGAGCCAACGGCUCUAUUUGUUUGAGGGGUCUAUAAAUAGUUGUUGGCCGGCUUGGGGCUCACUCUCUUGGCAUUCUAGCAUACUUGACAUCCUUGUGAGCCUAAGCAAACACCUCCCACUCAUCUCCUUCAUAGAUUAAACAUCUUUGUGAGAUUGGGAGUGAUUCCAAGUGCAUUUGCUUGAGUGAUUGCAUCUAGUGGCACUUGUGGAUCGUUCUACCUGCGAUUUUCUUGUUACUCUUGGUGGUUGCCGCCACCUAGACGGCUUGGAGCAGCGGAGGAGGAUUGACACGAGUUGGUGAUUGUUCGUAGCCAUCUUCCGGUGAUUGUGAGGGGUCUUGUACCUUCACCGGUGGAGAGCCGAAAGGUAACUCUAGUGGAUUGCUCGUGUCAUUGAGCUACCUCACUUGUGGGUAGGUUCUUGUGGUGUCCUAGUGAGGACGAGGUUCGUGCUACACCUCUUAGCCACCGAACCACCAAGUGUUGGUCGACACAAUAGGGACGUAGCGUGCCGGCAAGCACGUGAACCUCGGGAGAAAAUCGUGUGUCUCCAUUGUGAUUGUACUUUGGAUUUCUCCCGGUAAUUGGACGUCAUAUUAUUGAUUGGUUCAUCCCCUCUACGCGGCGGUAUAAAGAUCAAACCAUCUCUCUUACUUUCCCGCAAACUAGAGUAGCUUACUUCUUGUAUAGAAACUUUAGAUAGCUCUCUAGUGUAAGUAGUGACGUAGCUCUUGUGUGCCUAGUGAUCAUUUCAACUAGAAUUGUUGGAUAGGUGGCUUGCAAACACCCCAUUAGAGCUAGAGCAAAAAGCUACGCUUUGUUAUUUACUAACCACUUGCUCUAGUGAGUUUUGUAGAUUUUUUAAAUAGGCUAUUCACCUCCCUCUAGCCAUAUUAGGAUCUUUCAAUGGGUCAGCAGGUGUCCCCGAGUUUCUACGAGCACACGAUGAUAUAUGAGCAAGGUGAACCUGUCCUCGCCACGACGGUGGCAAUCGUGGCCAAGUGAAAGGAGAUGUGUACCACUGCCUGCAUCGCCUCGUGGUACAACCAAUAAUCCCAUUUGUAUCUACGCCACAAGCAAGAACUGACCAUAUCGUCGCUCUUGCAUGUGCCACCUCACUACAUUCACGGUGCCCGCUGAAGUAUUGACUAUUGCUAUUUACUAAAAAAUUGGUUCAAUUAGUAUUGGCACUGAAUGUGAACAAUGUCUAGACAAAGCUCUUUGCCUUUUCUAGAAAAGCAAUGAAGAAAAACUGAAAAAUAAUAUCAAUAAGCUCUCUUAGGCAUAUAUAGACAAAUAGCCUUUCGUUUCUUACCUACGUAACCUGGUCCUAGAUAAUUGACAACCAAUGCUAGGGUGAACAAACAACUACCAAUUUGACCUCUGGAUGUGCUUUCUAAUUUGCAUGUUUAGACAAUUCUUACAUCAUUAGAAUCCAUCUAAAUUCACAUCCUAUAGUUAAUAGAGCUUGUUGCCGGGAAACAAUUCAUAGUUCUACACUAAAUCAAAAUUCCUCACUGUAAACUAUGAGAAUUGAGCAAGUAACAAGCACAUACACUACUAUUGUUACUGUGACCAAAUAAAAAAAAUGUAUGAACAGAUCCAUAGUGAUCCAUUCAACCAUCCUACUUUCCUAAAAUAAUAGACGUGUUCACUCAUAUUUAUUGGAACUCCUUACUUCUAGAUUCACACAUUGUAGGUGGGCAGCGAGGGACAUUACACAUUAGACAUGGUGUGGUGCAAACACGUACAUAUCGUUGAGGAGCGAGGUGCGUUCUUAUUUUAUUCCUUGAGCUUGGAGAAGACUGCUAUGUGUAACACGCGGAAAGGUUAUAAUAGAGUUGAUGAGUCUAUGACACCGAUCUCUAUGUGACCUAUUAAUUUUACAAAAUUUAAUUUUUAAAUUAAAUGUCACUUUAAAGGUGAAAUUUAAUUUUAUAGUAUUAUAUUAUCUUAUCAUGUGAUUCGUAUAUUUUUAAUAUAAAAGUUUAGUUAUCCCGUAGUAACACGAGCAUUCUAGAAGCGAUGCCUUUGGUUGGUGGUAGUUGCACAUGAGCAGGACAGCAAAGUGUGGUCGAACCAAACCAACUGAGGUGAGAUGAGAUCCCUGACACGUCACCAGAAAGAAAGAAAAAAACUCAUCAGAUCUUCAUCGGAUUUUGAAGGGGAAAAUGUGGAAAAUGGAAGGAUACAUACAGGAACAAGAGAGAGAGAGAGAGAGAGAGAGAGGCAAGAGCAAGAAGUGCCACGGCCACGGGUGGCGCGAUGCGACGUCGGCUGUCGUGCUCGUGACCGCCCUCCCGCCUCCUCCACCUCCUGCGAUUCCGAUCCGCUGCCCUGUCUGGCCGGCCGGCCGGCCGGCAAGCCCCGCCUCCGCCUCCGCGCCUGCCUCUCCCCUCUCCCAUUUCGUUUCAAUUUAGAGCUGGGAGCAACCAACCAACCAACCAACCCUAGAUCCACCACACGAGAGGAGAGGAGAUCUCCCCGUCCCCGAUCCAAUUCCGCAGAGAUGGACUCCUCCUCCCCCUUCUCCCCUGACGACCAGACCGACGCCGACUUCUUCGACAAGCUCGUCGACGACGACGACAACCCCAUCCCGCCUCCCGCCACCGACUUGCCUCGGUCCGUCUCCGCCACCAGCCUCGACGCCGCAGACGACCACGCCCCACCGCCAGCCACCGACUUGCCUCGGCCCGUCUCCGCCACCAGCCUCGACGCCACAGACGACCCACCCGCCCCGGAGCCGCAGCCUCCGGCUCCCGAGGGGUCAGGCAAGGACGGCGCCGGCGUCCACACCGCGGUCAAGCAGGUGCAGUGGGCCUCCUUCGGAGGUGGCGCGGACGACGGUCCUGAUCCGUUCGCUGAUCUCUCGGGAGGCGCCGGCGACGACGACGGCUUCCUCGGGAGCACGGCCGGGACCCAGACGGCCUCGGAUCAGGACUUCUUCGCUGGGACCAACUCCUCCUCCGAUCAGCAGAAUGUCAAUGGUCAGCACGACCAGGGAGGUGGCACCAGCACUGCAGUGGACUCAGCAGAUCCCAAAUCUUGGGAGGCCAUGUACCCUGGGUGGAAGUACGACGAGGCAUCGCAGCAGUGGUACCAGCUUGAUGGCAGUGUAAAUUCAACCGGGAAUGCAGCUCAGGUGCUGGAGAAUAGCACUCAGAAUGCGCAGCAGCAGCAGCUCGACACGUCUUACCUGCACAAUUCGUCCCAUGCGGGGCUCGAGACAAUUGCCGAGGAGGGCACUGCCGCAGCUGGUGCUGUCUCAAGUUGGGGCCAAGGGGCCGCCUCAGAGUACCCACCCAACAUGCUCUUCUACGCAGAAUACCCUGGUUGGUACUUUGACACCAACACUCAGCAGUGGCACUCGCUUGAGUCGUACCAGCAGGCCGCUAUGCAGGCUGGAACAGCUAGCACGGGUCAGACUGUUGUUGCAAACGAUGUUGUUGCUGCGAAUUCCUCCUCUCUGACAGGCUAUAAUGCUGCACAAACUGAGGACCUUGCUGCCCACAAUCAGGUGACCCAACACAACUCAUUCUCAAAUAGUUUCACUCUGCAGAACCAAUGGCAGACUACGGAUGCAUUUGGUAACAAUGUACGAUCUGAAAGUGCUACGGAUAACAGCCUGGCUAGUAGUUUCUAUGGUUUUGAACAAAACAGGAAUGCUGAGACUACCACUUCCUCUAUGAGCCAACAGGCUGGUUUUAACACAGCGGAAACUGUUACAGAUCACUAUGGUGCACGCAAGGGCUUUGAAUCAUCAAGUCUUCGGAGUGGUUAUAGCUCAUCUGACAGUCAGCAAUCCAGUUACAAGGCAUUCGAACCUUCCACGGGUUAUCAGACUGGUUACAAAGCGUUUGAACCUGCCAUGGAUAACCAGAGUGGCUACAAGGCAUUACCUUCUACGGGUCACCAUAACGCUUCCCAGGGAUUCAUGCCUUCCACGGGUCACCGGACUGAUUUCAAGGGUUCCGGAGCUUCCACAGUUCACCAGGCUGGUUACAAAGAGUUUGAAACUUCUACAGGUUACAGUACAAGUUUCAAGGCAUUUGAACCCUCUUCAUCUCAACAUGCUAGUUACAAGGGUUCCCAACCUAACUACACAGGAUUUGACACUUCUGCAAACCACCAUGGUUAUGGUGAUGCCAAUGGUGUUGCGAGUACUCAAGGCUUUGUCCCAAUGCAAACCACGUACCAGGGCCAGAAACAAGCAAAUGCAACCUCGCAAGGGCACCUGUCAAAUAGUUAUUUUGGUACUGAAAGCUCCAUGAACUUUAAUCAGCAACAAUUUCUGGGUGCAAAUGCAUCAAACUUGCAAUUCGGUCACUCCCCACAUGAAGGCAGGUCAUCGGCUGGUCGACCACCGCAUGCCCUUGUUGCUUUUGGGUUUGGAGGGAAGCUCAUAAUUUUGAAAGAAACUAGCUCCAUGCCCGCAAGCUUUAACACUGGAAAUCAGGUAUCACAAUAGUUUCCAUUUGUAACGCAUUUUGUAUUGAAGGAACAUAUUUGAGUUGACUAAAUUACUAAAAUAUUUUUUUUCUUUUUCUUCUUGCAGUUCAAGGGUAACUCUAGUAGCACAGUUUCAGUUCUUAAUCUGUCAGAGGUGGUCGUUGAUAAAGUUGAUCCUUCAAGCAUCACUAAUGGUAGUGCACUUAGUUAUUUCCAUGCUCUGUGCCGUCAACCUGUUCCUGGCCCUCUGGUUGGUGGAAGUGCUGCAUCAAAGGAUGUAAAUAAGUGGCUUGAUGAAAUGAUUGCAUUGUACGAGUCUUCCUCUAGUGAAUUCCAGAAAGGUGAUACUCGCAAGUUGCUUAUUUCAUUGCUGAAGAUACUAUCUCAGCACUAUGGAAAACUCCGUUCACCUUUUGCGUCUGACCCAUCGCAAGAGGUACUUCCUCUCAUACUCUAUUCUGAAUUUCUGAUUGAAUGUUCAUUUAUAUAUCUCCUCUGUUUUCUCUGGUCUGCUUUCCUUUUCUAUCCUUAUUUAUUUUUACAACUUGCAUUAGAAAACAUUGUGCCAUGGUGAUUUGUUUUGAGUUGGAUGGUGUAAACGAAAACAUAAGUUGGAUAAGCUACUAAACUUCAGAUUUAUAUAUACUCAUACAACCUAGAAUUUGUUUACGAACAGUGUUUCAACCAUGUAAAGUUAUAAAUACCUGUGAUCAGCAUUGUCACGUGGGAACUUUGCUCGAUUUCAUAUUUUCAUGUUUUAUUACGAUGGGGGAUUCAACUACUUUCUUAACUCGUAGUUUGUAAACCAUGUCUAAUUUUAUAUUUGUGCAUAAUUUUUACAUGAAUUCUUUAUAAUAGGAGACAGAUGGUCCAGAAAUGGCAGUAACUAAGCUAUUUUCAUCGUGUAAGAGAAGCACUGUUCAUAUGGGAGAUUAUGGAUCCAUUGUUCCCUGCAUGAAAAAUAUUGCUUCAGAAAGUCAGAUGCAGGUAAUUUUUAUUUAUAAUAUUCUGCCCUUUAUUUUUAGCAAAUGUCCCUUAUUGAAACAACUACUAUUCUUUUAGGCUGUUGCACAAGAGGUCCAAGGCCUUCUAGUUUCUGGGAGAAGAAAAGAGGCCCUUCAGUGUGCCCAGAGAGGUCAACUUUGGGGACCUGCAAUCAUACUGGCAUUGCAGCUUGGUGAUCAGGUCUGUUUGACUUUAAACAACCUCCCUUUUGUAACGUAGCAUGUUGCUCGACUUUCCUGUAAUCCUGCCUGGUUUUCAUUUCCAUGUUAGAUUCACUGUUUUUUUUCCUGGACUGUUGGUACAGUUUUAUGUGGAUACAGUGAAGAAAAUGGCUCACUUCCAUUUUGUAUCUGGGUCCCCUCUGCGAACGCUAUGCCUUCUCAUUGCUGGACAACCUGCAGAUGUUUUUAAUGUAGAGAACAAUGUCAACAGUGACUAUGGUACAUCCGGUCAACCUAUGGAGGUACUUGCAAAGUUAAUUGGUCUUUUAGUUGUUAAAUGCAUUACUAUUAUGACCGUCAAGUACUGAUUAUAUAAUUAAAAUUCAAAAUUAUAAAAAAUUCUUUACCUUGAUGUCAUUGGUGAUCUCCUGUGUGAUUAAUGAUUUCAUAGUGUCUUGUUUACUGCAAUGUCAUGACUUUUGAGUAUCGUUUAUCAAUAACUAGGUGAAUACCCCGCGCGUUGCUGCGGGAUUUUUUCUUAAAAAUAAAUCAUAUAUUAAUUUGACUUGCAUGUAUUUUAUUGUAUUAGAUCUAGUAAAAAAUUGCUAAGCUAAUAGAAGAAAAACUAAUAUUUGGUUACAUUAUAGAGGAAUUGGUGAUGAAACAAAUAGUGUAUGCACAUGACUUGUAUGUUAAUAGAUUAAAGAUUUAAAGUAUUUCACAUGAUAUAGAUGACAUUGUCAUUUUUUUGUAAUUAAUAGAUUAAAGAUUUAAAGUAUUUCACAUGAUAUAGAUGACAUGGUCAUUUUUUGUAAUUAAUAUGGGAUGACAUGAACUUAGUGGGGAAUGAUGUGGACACCUUGCAUGAAGAGAUAGAACAUUUAGUGGGUCACUUAGUGGGGAAUGAUGUGGACACCUUGCAUGGAGAGAGAAUUCAUCUAGUGGGGUUUAGCUUUAUAAGAGUAUAUGAUAUAUGAUAUGAUUUUUCUGGUUUUUCCUUUUACUAUCUAACUCUUUUCACAAUUUGUUCCUUUUCUUUCCAGAGUCAGCCUGGUCCUAAUGGUAUGUUGGAUGAUUGGGAGGAGAAUUUGGCUAUAAUUACUGCAAACAGAACGAAAGGUGACGAUCUAGUAAUCACCCAUCUUGGUGAUUGUCUCUGGAAAGAAAAAAAUGAGGUUUGUAUCAUUAUAUCAUAUUUAUUUUUAGAUUCAGUUUUCCUACUCUUUUCUGUAUAUGUGGUCAAGUACCUUUUGCACAAUGUAUACAGGUUGCAGCUGCCCAUUCAUGCUAUUUAGUUGCUGAACUAAAUAUUGAUUCAUACUCAGAAAGUGCAAGGUUAUGCCUCAUUGGUGCAGACCACUUGAAGUGUCCGCGAACAUUUGCCAGCCCUGAAGCCAUUCAGGUUUGGCACUAUAUGUUUUACCUGCAAAAAAGUUGUGUAUGCUGUAUGGAGUAGACAUUUACUUAAAACAUCUUUUUCGCUCAGUUGCUUAGUUAAAUAUGCCUUAGAUGUGACUAGCUUUAAACAAAUAUUAUACGGAUCCAUUGGCAAGAUUAUGCUUAGUUAUUUAUUGGUUUAUUUUCUGUUGCUAUUCACUGUCUGGACUAAUAUCUUCAAAAUGCAAACAGAGGACAGAGGUUUAUGAAUACGCGAAGGUGCUUGGUAAUUCUCAGUAUAUUCUACUACCCUUUCAGCCAUAUAAGCUGAUAUAUGCAUACAUGCUUGUGGAAGUGGGGAAGGUUUCGGAUUCUUUGAGGUAUGUUGUUGGCUUGUUCAUAACAAUCAAAUGACACAAUCCUUUUCCUAGCUUGUACUUGUACAUUAUGACGCAGUUGAAUAUUAACUUCUCUAGGUAUUGCCAAGCAUCUAUGAAGGUGCUGAAAGCCUCUGGCCGUGCCCCUGAAUUGGAGGUGUGGAAACAAUUAUUUUCUUCAUUGGAGGAGAGGAUACGCACUCACCAGCAGGUAUGACCAUACUGUCAUGUGGGGCCAAGCCUAUGCGCGCCGUAGGCGCAACCGUGACAUAAGGAGGGCCGAGGAGCGUGCAGAUCGCGCCCAGCUUGGCGCGCACGCGGGCCUGGCCGCGCCCAGUGGCUAGGAUAGGAAGGAAAGAUUUGUUUAGAUCCUAAAUUAUAGAAAGGAUUAGUUUGGUUUCCUUACGGCCUUCAGCCGAGGGACUAUAUGUACUAGCUUUGGACUUUGGAAUAAAGCAAGCAAUAUCAAUUAUCUAAACUCUCUUCUCCCUAAACCUCUCAAGCCCGAUCGUCCGAGAGGGGCAUAACCUCCGGAUCGGAAGAACGGCAGGAGACUACGAUCUUCGUAGUCGAGGGCCACCUACCCUAGAUUACCAGGCCCUUGACAACCUGGUAUCACGUGUCAGCCGAUCCUCUUCCACCCAAUCUGCUGCCGCCGCCGCCGCCGUUCCACGCCCAACACCGCCAGCAUCGCCAACAACCUCGAUCACCUCCACCCUGCGCCCGCGCCCAAUGGCCGAACCCACGCUCGCCGAUCUCCUCGCCGAGAUGAAGACCAUGGCUGCCGAGAUGAUGGUCCUCAAGGCCGACGUGGCUUCCGUCAAGGAGAAGACCGUCUCCUCUUCCAGUAGCGGCGACGGCCGCCCUGGGGGUCUUCACGAGCAGGAAUUCCACCCGAAACACAAGAAGUGGGACUUCCCGCGCUUCGACGGCACGACUGACCCGCUCCUCUUCAUCAACAAAUGCGACGCCUACUUCCGCCAACACCGCACACCAGUGGAAGACCGCGUGGCCAUGGUGUCCUACCACCUCGACGACGUCGCACAGCUCUGGUUCAUCCAGCUGCAGACGGACGACGGCACGCCGAACUGGACUCACUUCAAGGAUCUCCUGCACCUUCGGUUUGGCCCACCCCUCCGCUCCGCGCCGAUGUUCGAGCUCGCUGAGUGCCGGCGUACCGACACCGUCGACGACUAUUCCAACCGGUUUCAAGCCCUCUUGCCCCGAGCAGGCCGCCUCGAGGAGGAACAGCGUGUUCAGCUAUACACCGGCGGUCUUCUUCCGCCCCUGAGUCACGCCGUUCGCCUUCACAAUCCGGCUACCCUCGCCGAGGCCAUGAGCCUGGCCCGCCAGGUGGAGUUAAUGGAGUUGUCCAGGCCGGCUCCGCCACCGCCUGCUCGGGCACCCCCGCGCGGCUUGCUGCCCGCGCCUGCGCCGCGGCCGGCCCUGCCAGCUCCUCUAGCAGCUGCGCAGCAGGGCAAAGCGGAGGGCCCUCACCGUCGACUGUCCCCGGCCGAGAUGGCGGAACGGCGCCGCCAAGGUCUCUGCUUCAACUGCAACGAGCCCUACGCCAGGGGCCACAAUCGCUUCUGCAAGCGGCUGUUCUUUGUGGACGGGGUCGAGAUCGAUGCCACCGACGCUCCAGCAGCAGACACCGCAGAGGCGGACCCUGGAACCGAGGCGCCAUGUUACUCCCUGCACGCCGUCGCAGGAGUACCGGUCUCGGACACUAUUCAGAUCAAGGUGUCCGUAGGAUCGGCCUCCCUUCUCGCGCUGCUCGACAGUGGCUCCACGCACAGCUUCAUCAGCGAGGACGUGGCGCGCCUCACCGGCCUACCGAUCCAGGACCACCCGCGCCUGACAGCCACGGUUGCCAAUGGCGAACGCGUGGCCUGCCCGGGCGUUAUUCGGAACGCGCCUUUCUCCAUCAACGGCACCGCCUUCUCCACCGAUCUUUUUGUCAUGCCACUUGCAGGGUACGAGGUGGUGCUGGGGACGUGCUGGAUGCGCACGCUGGGCGACAUCGUGUGGAACUUCGCCGAGCGUGCGAUGUCCUUCCAAUUUGGCGGACGCAGCAUCACCUGGGCCGGCCUUCCGUCAUCAUCUGUCACCAGCCUGCGCACCAUCGCAGCGGCCAGUGGGACGCUGCUGGAUGAGCUCCUGGCCGCCUACGCCGACAUCUUCGCUGCGCCAUCAGGCCUUCCGCCACCGCGUACUCGGGACCAUGCCAUCGUCCUCAAGCCAGGUUCGGCCCCCGUCGCUGUACGGCCGUAUCGCUACCCGGCGGCCCACAAAGAUGAGCUGGAACGCCAGUGCGCCGUCAUGAUGGAGCAGGGCGUCGUCCGCCGCAGUGACUCGCCGUUUUCAUCCCCGGCGCUCCUUGUCCACAAAGCCGACGGGUCGUGGCGGUUCUGCGUCGACUACCGCGCUCUCAACGCGCUCACCGUCAAGGACGCUUUUCCCAUUCCAGUGGUGGACGAGCUACUCGACGAGCUCCACGGCGCGCGCUACUUCACCAAGCUCGAUCUGCGCUCCGGCUAUCAUCAAGUGCGGAUGCGGCCCGAGGACGUCCACAAAACGGCGUUCCGCACCCACGACGGCCUCUACGAGUUUUUGGUGAUGCCGUUCGGGCUGUGCAAUGCCCCGGCCACCUUUCAGGCACUGAUGAACGACGUCCUCCGGGCCUAUCUACGGCGGUUUGUUCUCGUCUUUUUCGAUGACAUUUUGAUUUAUAGCACCUCCUGGACUGAUCACCUCAGGCACCUACGCGUGGUCUUCGAGCUCUUGCGCCAGCACCAGUUGUUCGUCAAGCGCUCUAAGUGCUGUUUUGGGGUGCAAGCCGUCGCCUACCUGGGGCAUACCAUCUCAGCUGCCGGCGUCACCAUGGACCCCGCCAAGGUCCAGGCCAUCCACGAGUGGCCGCGUCCCCGUUCUGCUCGGGCAGUGCGCGGUUUCCUGGGCUUGGCGGGCUAUUAUCGGAAGUUUGUCCACCAGUACGGCUCCAUCGCUGCACCCCUCACGGCGCUAUUGAAGAAGGAUGGUUUCACUUGGAGCCCAGCGGCCGAGGAGGCGUUCAGCACCCUCAAGACCGCGAUCACCACGGCUCCUGUCUUGGCUCUUCCCGACCUCGCCAAGCCGUUCGUCGUAGAAUGCGACGCGUCGACAUAUGGCUUCGGCGCCGUACUCCUCCAGGAUGGCCAUCCGGUCGCUUUCUUCAGCAGGCCGGUGGCGCCCAGGCACCGCUCCCUCGCCGCGUACGAGCGAGAGCUCAUUGGCCUUGUGCUCGCAGUCCGCCACUGGCGGCCAUAUCUUUGGGGGCACCACUUCACCGUCAAGACUGAUCACCACAGUCUCAAGUUUCUUCUGGACCAGCGACUUGCCACCAUACCUCAGCAUCAUUGGGUUGGCAAGUUGCUCGGCUUUGACUUCGCGGUGGAGUACAAAUCCGGGGCCGCUAAUGUGGUUGCUGACGCCCUCUCGCGCCGGGAUGCUGAGGAGGACAGCAUGGGCGGGCUCCGCUCUAUCUCUGCUCCACGCUUCGACUUCAUCAACCGACUCCGUCAAGCUCAGGCUGUCGACCCCGCCUUGGUCGCCAUCCACGACGAGAUCCGCGCAGGUUCCAGGACAGCGCCCUGGACGGUCAAGGACGAUAUGGUGCUCUUCGACGGGCGUCUCUACAUACCGCUCGCCUCGCCCCUGCUCCAGGAAAUUGUGGCCGCCGUCCACGAUGAUGGCCACGAGGGCGUGCAGCGCACAUGGCACCGGCUGCAUCGUGACUUUCAUUUUCCCCACAUGCGCCGCAUCGUGCAAGACUUUGUGCGAGCUUGCGCCACGUGUCAACGCUUCAAGUCUGAACAUCUGCUACCGGCCGGACUGCUGCAGCCACUGCCGGUGCCGUCCGCUGUAUGGGCCGACAUCGGGAUGGACUUCAUCGAAGCACUACCACGGGUCGACGGCAAGUCCGUCAUCCUCUCCGUCGUCGACCGCUUCAGCAAGUACGGCCACUUCAUCGCUCUUGGCCACCCGAACACUGCUGAAUCAGUGGCCCAGGCGUUCUUCACCAACAUUGUCCGCCUCCACGUCGUACCGCAGUCCAUCGUCUCCGACAGGGAUCCGGUGUUCACGUCUGCCUUUUGGCGUGAACUCAUGCGGCUGAUGGGCUCCAAGCUGCAUAUGACCUCCGCAUUCCAUCCUCAGUUGGACGACCAGUCCGAAGCAGCAAACCGCGUCAUCGUCAUGUAUCUCCGCUGCUUUACUGGGGACCGACCGCGCCAAUGGCUCCGAUGGCUGCCAUGGGCGGAGUACGUCUACAACACGGCCUACCAAGCUUCGCUCCGGGAGACGCCGUUUCGCGUGGUCUACGGCCGCGAUCCUCCGACGAUACGCUCUUAUGAGCCCGGCGAAACCCGAGUUGCGGCCGUAGCCAGGGACAUGGAGGAACGCGAGGCAUUCCUUGCUGAGGUGCGCCACCGACUGGAGCAGGCCCAGGCAGUGCAGAAGCUGCACUAUGAUCGUCAUCAUCGGCAUGUCUCCUACGCAGAAGGUGAUUGGGUCCUGCUGCGUUUCCGCCAGCGUCCAGUGGCCUCUCUGCCCCACUCCACGGGCAAGCUAAAGGCUCGCUAUCUGGGGCCUUAUCGCAUAAUCCAGAAGAUCAAUGAGGUGGCCGUGCAGCUGGAGCUUCCCCCACAGGCGCGCAUCCACGACGUCUUCCACAUUGGGGUCCUCAAGAAGUUCCACGGACCUCCGCCGUCUACCCCGCCUCCCUUGCCGGACAUCAGACAUGGUACGGUCAGCCCGGUGCCAGACCGUGUCACUCAAGCUCGCAGGGUCCGUGGUGUCCUUCAAGUCCUUGUGUUUUGGCGAGGAGAACCAGCGUCUUCAGCUUCCUGGGAAGACCUCGACGAGUUCCGCGCCUCAUAUCCAGAUUUCCAGCUCGGGGACGAGCUGGCUCUCGAGGGGGCGAGAGAUGUCAUGUGGGGCCAAGCCUAUGCGCGCCGUAGGCGCAACCGUGACAUAAGGAGGGCCGAGGAGCGUGCAGAUCGCGCCCAGCUUGGCGCGCACGCGGGCCUGGCCGCGCCCAGUGGCUAGGAUAGGAAGGAAAGAUUUGUUUAGAUCCUAAAUUAUAGAAAGGAUUAGUUUGGUUUCCUUACGGCCUUCAGCCGAGGGACUAUAUGUACUAGCUUUGGACUUUGGAAUAAAGCAAGCAAUAUCAAUUAUCUAAACUCUCUUCUCCCUAAACCUCUCAAGCCCGAUCGUCCGAGAGGGGCAUAACCUCCGGAUCGGAAGAACGGCAGGAGACUACGAUCUUCGUAGUCGAGGGCCACCUACCCUAGAUUACCAGGCCCUUGACACAUACCAUUUGGUAUAUUGCUUAUUGCAAAUAUUUGCUUGCUUUAUAUCUGGUGUUCUCUUGCUCUUUUCCUUGUUCAUUUACAGAUUGAUCAACUCUCUUUGCUUUUUUUUUUCUUCUGUAGGGUGGAUAUGGAACAAAUCUUGCCCCAGCAAAACUAGUUGGGAAGAUUUUUACCUCGCUUGAUAAAUCUAUAUCCCGCAUGAUGGGUACACCAUCUGCACCACUUCCACCAUUACCACAUGGAUCUGUUAGUGAUAGAGAGAGCCACUCUAUGCCUGCAGCAGCAAAAUUUGGAAAUAGCCAAUCGGUAAUGACCAUGUCAUCGUUAAUGCCAUCUGCUUCAAUGCAGUCAAUGACUGAGAUAGCAGAGAAUAGUGGUGGCACUGGCAGGACAAUUGCACACAACAGAAGUGUUUCUGAGCCGGACUUUGGUAGAACAUCAAAACAGGUACUUGCAAAGAGAAAUUUGAAGACAUUAAUUUCUGGUUAUGUUGAAUUUGAAAGAUCAUUUGGUAUUUCUCCCCUUGUCUCAUUUGAAAAACCUAACAGGGUGCUGGAUCAGAUGGCACACAGAGUAGUGCAUCAGGAUCUGGUAGUUCUCGAUUUGGUUGGCUAGUGCAGAAGACUAUGGAUUUAGUGUCGAAAUCCCACCGCCAGGUAUUUUUUACUAAGUUAUGAAAUGACUAUUUCCAGUUUUUGCCCCCAUCUUGUCUCUUCUAUAUGGAACACCAACCUUAAGAUCCUAUUUCUGUUAUGAAGGCAAAAUUAGGGGAUCAGAACAAAUUUUACUAUGAUGAAAAGUUGAAGCGGUGGGUGGAAGAAGGUGCUGCGGUUCCUGCCGAGGAGCCUCCUCUUCCUCCACCUCCAACAAAACCAUCUUUCCAGAAUGGUAUGCCAGACCAUAAGUUGAAUGGCCCCAUGAGUGUAAACCAUGCUCCCAAUGGAGUCACAGAAUGGAAAUCCUCAAAUUCUUCGGAGCAAGGAGGUCUGGGUAUGCCUCCAAUUCCACCUAGCCAAAACCAGUUUUCUGCUCGUGGACGGAUGGGUGUCCGGUCCAGGUAAUUCGACAGUGGCAUUGUCAUUUAGUACUCUUAAUUAUUAUUUCUAUAUUGCUCUCUAAGGUAUUAUACAGAAAACUGAUGGCUUUUCUGUUUUCAUUUUAGAUAUGUUGACACAUUCAAUAAAUCGGGUGCGUCUGGAGCAGUGCCAUCAUAUAACAAACCAGCUGCUCCAUCUGUGACACCACCAGCUGGUGCCAAGUUCUUCAUGCCGACUGCAGCACCUGCUGCUGCAGAUCAGAUGGUGCCACACCAAGCAGCAGAGAUACACAGUGAAACCAUCCAUCAGGAUGAGCGGUCAGCCUCACCACCAGCAGAAACAUCAUUUUCUUCAACCCCACCACCCACACAAUUUUCAUCACCCCCACCGCACAUGCAAUUUUCAUCACCAAUGCAAUCAACAAUUCAUCGGCAAUCUAGUAUGGACAACAUCUCCACCCCUUACCAGGGUUCUGGGGUAUCAUCAUUAAGCAGCAGCAGCUCAUUCUCAAAAUCACGAGCCGCAUCCUGGAGUGGGACAUACUCUGAGCAGUAUAGUGCUUUUGCGGGCACUCAAUCACCUGAUAGACAGACGAUGCCUUCACCACUCAUGCCUGGCAAACCAUCACACAGUCGUUCCAACAGCAACUCAUCAGUGCAGCUCAAUGGAUUGGCAGAGGAUCUUCAUGAGGUUGAGCUCUAACUGACCACUGCUCAGCAUGACCG
rnacentral:lncRNA from 1 species